rnacentral:tRNA from 1 species
GGGGUGGGUGCUGGUGCACAGCGUUGCCUUGCAAGCUGCGCGUGCGCGGUUCGAUCCCGCGUCACUCCA